AUCUCAUCUUUAUUUCCUUUGGUGAAGGAGCUGCUUCCGACGGAGACCCUCGUCGGCGCCAUGAAUCGCCUCUUUCUGGUCUUGUUGUAGAUGGUUAUUGCGGACGUGGGUGGCUUUUUAUUGUUGGGGUAGACUCAAAACUAUGGUUAGGGUUUUAUGUGACCUUCGAAGUGACUUAAAAGUGAGGUUUGACUUCUGUUGCAAAGUAAUAUCGACUCCUUCACUGCUGUUUUAUGACGUAGAUGGGUCAUUGGUGGAAUUAUCCUUAAAUGAUUAAUUUCAAUUAGGAAACUUGCAUAUUUAUGGCUGUUUGUUUCGUUUUCCAUGCCUUCACUAUCUUCAUCAAAUUUUGUUAUUGUUUCCUAAAAUGUUUGUGUUUUAAUUUAGAACAAACGUUGGUAUUGUAUGUUAUGUAUAGAAUUAUGAUUUUUUUAAAAUUAAAACAUAUUGAAACGACACAUUGAAUGUUAGUGUGUAUAUAUAUAUAUAUAUAUAUAUAUUUGUGUAGUACAUCACCAUAAUACACAUAAUACACAUAAUUAUUUAUGAAAUGUUGAAAACAUGUGGAUGUUUUUACAUGAUAGAUUAACCAAGUAAUCUAAAAGUUCUUUGUUACAUUCUGAAAAGAUGUGGAUUCAAAUCUCACCAUCGUCACAAAAACCAUUAGUUGCACCAUUAUAAAAUCUAUUAGGUGAUGUUUUGCGUGAUAUAGGACUUAGAACCAGAUGAAAUAUAGAAUGCUGAUGAUAGUUUCUCCCUACAUAUUAAAUUAAAAAUUAAAAUAUUUAAUAUUUGUAAAUACACAAUCUAAAACUACAUUGAAAAUUAAAAUCAUAAUAUUUUAAAGUUUCAAUUUGGAUAUUAUUUUUAUAAGUACAAGUAUAUUUUAAACUAAUUCUUUGAAAUAUAUAAUUUUUUUUCAAUGAAUUUACUCUCUCUCUCUCUCUCUC
rnacentral:lncRNA from 1 species